rnacentral:rRNA from 1 species
UACAGAGGGGGCAAGCGUUAUUCGGAAUUAUUGGGCGUAAAGGGCGCGUAGGCGGCGAUUCAAGUGACGGGUGAAAUCCCUCGGCUUAACCGAGGAACUGCCUGUCAGACUGGAUUGCUUGAGUGCCGGGAGAGGCGAGUGGAAUUCCCAGUGUAGCGGUGAAAUGCGUAGAUAUUGGGAGGAACACCAGUGGCGAAGGCGGCUCGCUGGACCGGAACUGACGCUGAGGCGCGAAAGCGUGGGGAGCAAACAGG